rnacentral:rRNA from 1 species
UACGUAGGUGGCAAGCGUUGUCCGGAUUUAUUGGGCUUAAAGGGUGCGUAGGCGGUCCUAUAAGUCAGUUGUGAAAUACGGCAGCUUAACUGUCGAGGUGCAAUUGAUACUGCAGGACUUGAGUACAGACGAGGUAGGCGGAAUUGACGGUGUAGCGGUGAAAUGCUUAGAUAUCGUCAAGAACACCGAUAGCGAAGGCAGCUUACUAGACUGUAACUGACGCUGAUGCACGAAAGUGUGGGGAGCAAACAGG